rnacentral:rRNA from 2 species
UGGGGAAUAUUGCGCAAUGGGGGAAACCCUGACGCAGCGACGCCGCGUGAGCGAUGAAGUAUUUCGGUAUGUAAAGCUCUAUCAGCAGGGAAGAAAAAAAUGACGGUACCUGACUAAGAAGCCCCGGCUAACUACGUGCCAGCAGCCGCGGUAAUACGUAGGGGGCAAGCGUUAUCCGGAUUUACUGGGUGUAAAGGGAGCGCAGGCGGUGAGGCAAGUCUGAUGUGAAAGCCCGGGGCUCAACCCCGGGACUGCAUUGGAAACUGUCUUACUUGAGUGUCGGAGAGGUAAGUGGAAUUCCUAGUGUAGCGGUGAAAUGCGUAGAUAUUAGGAGGAACACCAGUGGCGAAGGCGGCUUACUGGACGACAACUGACGCUGAGGCUCGAAAGCGUGGGGAGCAAACAGG